UACGGAGGGUGCAAGCGUUAAUCGGAAUUACUGGGCGUAAAGCGCGCGUAGGCGGCUGGGUAAGUCGAUUGUGAAAUCCCCGGGCUCAACCUGGGAAUUGCAGUCGAGACUGCCCGGCUAGAGUGUGGGAGAGGGUGGUGGAAUUCCUGGUGUAGCGGUGAAAUGCGUAGAUAUCAGGAGGAACACCGGUGGUGUAGACGGCUCUCUGGACCGUAACUGACGCUGAGACACGAAAGCGUGGGUAGCAAACAGG
rnacentral:rRNA from 1 species